GUUUGUCUGUUCUGAAUGUGGUCGAAGAUUUGGAGAAAAAAGCAUCCUGAAAAGACACAUGAUAAUUCAUACAGGACAAAAACAGUUUGGCUGUUCUGAAUGUGGACAAAAAUUUGGACAAAAGGGCAAUCUGAAGACACACAUGAUAAUACAUACAGGACAAAAACAGUUUGGCUGUUCUGAAUGUGGUCGAAGAUUUGGACGAAAGGGCAACCUGAAGACACACAUGAUAAUUCACACAGGACACAAACAGUUUGCCUGUUCUGUAUGUGGUCGAAGAUUUGGACAUAAGAGCAACCUGAACAAACACAUGAUAAUUCAUACAGGUCCAAAAGACCAAGGAAACACAGCUAACCAAUAAGGACAGACCCAUCUGUUGCCUAACAACAACAUGUAAAUGGCUGACAUGAAUUAUAGACGAUGCAAUUUAUGAACAUCUUGACACACUUGUGGCUACCUG